rnacentral:rRNA from 1 species
GAUGAACGCUAGCGGCAGGCCUAAUACAUGCAAGUCGAACGGUAACAUUGGUGCUUGCACCAGAUGACGAGUGGCGCACGGGUGCGUAACGCGUAUGCAACCUACCUUUUACUAGAGUAUAGCCCAGAGAAAUUUGGAUUAAUCCUCUAUAAUAUCUUUUAAUUUCAUGAUUUUAAGAUUAAAGUUUUAACGGUAAAAGAUGGGCAUGCGUCCUACUAGUUUGUAGGUGAGGUAACGGCUCACCUAGACUACGAUAGGUAGGGGCCCUGAGAGGGGGAUCCCCCACACUGGUACUGAGACACGGACCAGACUCCUACGGGAGGCAGCAGUAAGGAAUAUUGGACAAUGGACGAAAGUCUGAUCCAGCCAUGCCGCGUGCAGGAUGACAGCCCUACGGGUUGUAAACUGCUUUUAUACAGGAAGAAACACUCCGACGUGUCGGAGCUUGACGGUACUGUAAGAAUAAGGAUCGGCUAACUCCGUGCCAGCAGG